rnacentral:rRNA from 1 species
UACGUAGGGGGCAAGCGUUGUCCGGAAUCAUUGGGCGUAAAGCGCGUGUAGGCGGUUCAGUAAGUCUGCUGUGAAAGUCCAGGGCUCAACCCUGGGAUGCCGGUGGAUACUGCUGGGCUAGAGUACGGAAGAGGCGAGUGGAAUUCCCGGUGUAGCGGUGAAAUGCGCAGAUAUCGGGAGGAACACCAAUAGCGAAGGCAGCUCGCUGGGACGUGACUGACACUAAGGCGCGAAAGCGUGGGGAGCGAACAGG